GAUGAAGAACGUAGCGAAAUGCGAUAAGUAGUGUGAAUUGCAGAAUUCAGUGAAUCAUCGAAUCUUUGAACGCACAUUGCGCCCUUUGGUAUUCCAAAGGGCAUGCCUGUUCGAGCGUCAUUUGUACCCUCAAGCUUUGCUUGGUGUUGGGCGUCUUGUCUCUAGCUUUGCUGGAGACUCGCCUUAAAGUAAUUGGCAGCCGGCCUACUGGUUUCGGAGCGCAGCACAAGUCGCACUCUCUAUCAGCCAAGGUCUAGCAUCCAUUAAGCCUUUUUUUCAACUUUUGACCUCGGAUCAGGUAGGGAUACCCGCUGAACUUAAGCAUAUCAAUAAGCGGAGGA
rnacentral:misc_RNA from 1 species